GCAGUUUCUGGAAAGGAUGUCACAGAAGAUGAAGCGCAAAUGCAGGAGAGUGACAGUGGAACAACGGACACCAAUGAAGCAUGCAGUCCUUCUAAUCCUACCUGCUCUGGCCUUGAGGAAUCUUCCAAGGAUGCUCUGGAGCUAUUUACU